GCAUUGCGGCGUGCUAUACAUGCAAGUCGAGCGGACAGAUGGGAGCUUGCUCCCUGAUGUUAGCGGCGGACGGGUGAGUAACACGUGGGUAACCUGCCUGUAAGACUGGGAUAACUCCGGGAAACCGGGGCUAAUACCGGAUGGUUGUUUGAACCGCAUGGUUCAAACAUAAAAGGUGGCUUCGGCUACCACUUACAGAUGGACCCGCGGCGCAUUAGCUAGUUGGUGAGGUAACGGCUCACCAAGGCAACGAUGCGUAGCCGACCUGAGAGGGUGAUCGGCCACACUGGGACUGAGACACGGCCCAGACUCCUACGGGAGGCAGCAGUAGGGAAUCUUCCGCAAUGGACGAAAGUCUGACGGAGCAACGCCGCGUGAGUGAUGAAGGUUUUCGGAUCGUAAAGCUCUGUUGUUAGGGAAGAACAAGUACCGUUCGAAUAGGGCGGUACCUUGACGGUACCUAACCAGAAAGCCACGGCUAACUACGUGCCAGCAGCCGCGGUAAUACGUAGGUGGCAAGCGUUGUCCGGAAUUAUUGGGCGUAAAGGGCUCGCAGGCGGUUUCUUAAGUCUGAUGUGAAAGCCCCCGGCUCAACCGGGGAGGGUCAUUGGAAACUGGGGAACUUGAGUGCAGAAGAGGAGAGUGGAAUUCCACGUGUAGCGGUGAAAUGCGUAGAGAUGUGGAGGAACACCCCUGGCGAAGGCGACUCUCUGGUCUCUAGCUGACACUGAGAGGCGAAACCCCCGGGGGCGCACACCAUGAGAUAU
rnacentral:rRNA from 1 species